GAUGAAGAACGUAGCGAAAUGCGAUAAGUAAUGUGAAUUGCAGAAUUCAGUGAAUCAUCGAAUCUUUGAACGCACAUUGCGCCCGCCAGUAUUCUGGCGGGCAUGCCUGUUCGAGCGUCAUUUCAACCCUCGACCUCCCUUUGGGGAAGUCGGCGUUGGGGACCGGCAGCACACCGCCGGCCCUGAAAUGGAGUGGCGGCCCGUCCGCGGCGACCUCUGCGUAGUAAUCCAACUCGCACCGGAACCCCGACGCGGCCACGCCGUAAAACACCCAACUUCUGAACGUUGACCUCGAAUCAGGUAGGACUACCCGCUGAACUUAAGCAUAUCAAUAAGCGGAGGA
rnacentral:misc_RNA from 1 species